AUUGAACGCUGGCGGCAUGCCUUACACAUGCAAAUCGAACGGUAACGGGCCUUCGGGUGCCGACGAGUGGCGAACGGGUGAGUAAUACAUCGGAACGUGCCCGAUCGUGGGGGAUAACGAGGCGAAAGCUUUGCUAAUACCGCAUACGAUCUACGGAUGAAAGCAGGGGACCGCAAGGCCUUGCGCGGACGGAGCGGCCGAUGGCAGAUUAGGUAGUUGGUGGGAUAAAAGCUUACCAAGCCGACGAUCUGUAGCUGGUCUGAGAGGAUGAUCAGCCACACUGGAACUGAGACACGGCCCAGACUCCUACGGGAGGCAGCAGUGGGGAAUUUUGGACAAUGGGCGCAAGCCUGAUCCAGCCAUGCCGCGUGCAGGAUGAAGGCCUUCGGGUUGUAAACUGAUUUUGUACGGAACGAAAAGCCUUCUUUUAAUACAGGAGGGUCAUGACGGUACCGUAAGAAUAAGCACCGGCUAACUACGUG
rnacentral:rRNA from 1 species